CUGAUGAUCAAAUGAACCUCUCUUCUGUCAUAAAGACUCAAUUCACCACCUUUCUGAUGAUCAAAUGAACCUCUCUUCUGUCAUAAAGACUCAAUUCAAUACUUUGUUUUGAACCAAUCUGAUAUGAUGUUAUGACAUAUGAUCCAUUGUAUAAAUAGUAUAGUCAUGUCUGAACCACAGCGGUGCUGUUGGAGCGGGGUUUCUGUCCGGAACCCUGUGGUACCAAGCUCUUCAGCAGAUGGUUACAUCAUUUGCAUGAAGAAGUGCUUCUUUCAGCCUGCCUCAUUGGGUGAAGAAGACAGAGAAGUGGGUUGUGGGUAGUCUGAGCAUGUCUAUUACAACUACCACACACUAUCUUUCAAAUAAAAUUGAUUUCAAAUAAAAUGUAUUUAUAUAGCCCUUCUUACAUCAGCUGAUAUCUCAAAGUGCUGUACAGAAACCCAGCCUAAAACCCCAAACAGCAAGCAAUGCAGGUGUAGAAGCACAGUGGCUAGGAAAAACUCACUAGAAAGGCCAAAACCUAGGAAGAAACCUAGAAAGGAACCAGGCUAUGUGGGGUGGCCAGUCCUCUUCUGGCUGUGCCGGGUUGAGAUUAUAACAGAACAUGGCCAAGAUGUUCAAAUGUUCAUAAAUGACCAGCAUGGUCAAAGAAAUAAUAAUCACAGUAGUCUUUCAGACGGAAACAUAUAUGUACCAACACUAUUACAACGACAGUGUCAUACAAAUGCCAGUGGGUGUUGAUGGGUGUGUAUGCCUUCCGCCUACAAUGGCUGCCACUUUGGAUCUCUUCCUAACCCAGGGUGAGUGCCAUUCCAAACAUUCCACCUCAGUAUUCCAAACUUCCAAAUGCAGGAUUUCGUCAUGUAUUCCAAGAGAAUCCAGUGGGAUAUGACAGCCUGUCCUUCUUUCUAUCAUCUGUCCAUCUGUCUGUCCAUCUCACACGGUGUGGUUGGUUUCCUUGGGAACAGGGGGAGGUCCCGGGCUGCUGGUUCCACUGGUGCGAGAGGCGCCGCCCCUCCAACCAAAUAGAGCAUCC
ensembl:lncRNA